GGCAUUGACACCCCUGUCAUUGGGAAGAAGAAAAAGAUAGGGUUUGCAACUUUUGCUACUGGCAUUGUCCAUGGGCUGCAACCGGAUGCACUGAUGAUGAUCUUGCCUGCACUUGCUUUGCCUUCUCGCGUGGCUGGCGCCGCCUUCUUGGGUAUGUUCUUGGUUGGUACUGUUAUUGCAAUGGGAAGCUAUACCGUCUUUAUUGGCUCGUGUAGUCAGGCACUGAAAGAUAGAGUUCCUAGAAUAACAGAGAAGCUCACUUGGGCUUCUUCGCUGAUAGCAAUUGGCUUAGGAAUUGCUAUUAUCGUCAGUCAGUUUUUUGGUUUUAGCCUAUAUUAGGUCUGAUCCGGCGAUUAAAAUAGUUUACGUUCCGUGUUAGGGGAUGUCAUUUUGAUGAGAGGAUAUAUGU
rnacentral:misc_RNA from 1 species